rnacentral:rRNA from 1 species
CGCGUAGGCGGUUUGAUAAGUCAGAUGUGAAAGUCCACGGCUCAACUGUGGAAGUGCAUUUGAAACUGUCAGACUUGAGUAUCGGAGGGGAAAGUGGAAUUCCCGGUGUAGAGGUGAAAUUCGUAGAGAUCGGGAGGAACACCGGUGGCGAAGGCGACUUUCUGGACGAAUACUGACGCUGAGGCGCGAAAGCGUGGGGAGCAAACA